UGGGGAAUAUUGCACAAUGGGCGCAAGCCUGAUGCAGCCAUGCCGCGUGUGUGAAGAAGGCCUUCGGGUUGUAAAGCACUUUCAGCGAGGAGGAAGGUGGUGAGCUUAAUACGCUCAUCAAUUGACGUUACUCGCAGAAGAAGCACCGGCUAACUCCGUGCCAGCAGCCGCGGUAAUACGGAGGGUGCAAGCGUUAAUCGGAAUUACUGGGCGUAAAGCGCACGCAGGCGGUUUGUUAAGUCAGAUGUGAAAUCCCCGGGCUCAACCUGGGAACUGCAUUUGAAACUGGCAAGCUAGAGUCUCGUAGAGGGGGGUAGAAUUCCAGGUGUAGCGGUGAAAUGCGUAGAGAUCUGGAGGAAUACCGGUGGCGAAAGGCGGCCCCCCUGGACGAAGACUGACGCUCAGGUGCGAAAAGCGUGGGGAGCAAAACAGGAUUAGAUACCCUGGUAGUCCACGCUGUAAAACGAUGUCGA
rnacentral:rRNA from 1 species